UGAGGAACAUGACCUUCGGCGGGGGAUAGCCGGCCCAACGGCCGGGUAAUACCGCGUACGACCACAUGGGGACAUCCCUGAGUGGUGAAAGCAGCAAUGCGCCGAUGGAGUGCCUCGCGGCCUAUCAGCUAGUUGGUGAGGUAACGGCUCACCAAGGCGACGACGGGUAGCUGGUCUGAGAGGAUGGCCAGCCACAGUUGGGACUGAGGCACGGCCCAGAUCCGUACGGG
rnacentral:rRNA from 1 species